rnacentral:rRNA from 1 species
AUGGCGACCGGCGCACGGGUGAGUAACACGUAUCCAACCUGCCGAUGACUCGGGGAUAGCCUUUCGAAAGAAAGAUUAAUACCCGAUGACAUAGUUCUUCCGCAUGGUAGAACUAUUAAAGAAUUUCGGUCAUCGAUGGGGAUGCGUUCCAUUAGCUUGUUGGCGGGGUAACGGCCCACCAAGGCAUCGAUGGAUAGGGGUUCUGAGAGGAAAGUCCCCCACAUUGGAACUGAGACACGGUCCAAACUCCUACGGAAGGCAGCAG